UGUUUGAUGUUCUAACGUGGACCCGUGAUCCGGGUUGCGGACAGUGUCUGGUGGGUAGUUUGACUGGGGCGGUCUCCUCCUAAAGAGUAACGGAGGAGCACGAAGGUUGGCUAAUCCUGGUCGGACAUCAGGAGGUUAGUGCAAUGGCAUAAGCCAGCUUGACUGCGAGCGUGACGGCGCGAGCAGGUGCGAAAGCAGGUCAUAGUGAUCCGGUGGUUCUGAAUGGAAGGGCCAUCGCUCAACGGAUAAAAGGUACUCCGGGGAUAACAGGCUGAUACCGCCCAAGAGUUCAUAUCGACGGCGGUGUUUGGCACCUCGAUGUCGGCUCAUCACAUCCUGGGGCUGAAGUAGGUCCCAAGGGUAUGGCUGUUCGCCAUUUAAAGUGGUACGCGAGCUGGGUUUAGAACGUCGUGAGACAGUUCGGUCCCUAUCUGCCGUGGGCGCUGGAGAACUGAGGGGGGCUGCUCCUAGUACGAGAGGACCGGAGUGGACGCAUCACUGGUGUUCGGGUUGUCAUGCCAAUGGCACUGCCCGGUAGCUAAAUGCGGAAGAGAUAAGUGCUGAAAGCAUCUAAGCACGAAACUUGCCCCGAGAUGAGUUCUCCCUGACCCUUUAAGGGUCCUGAAGGAACGUUGA
rnacentral:rRNA from 2 species